GACGAACGCUGGCGGCGUGCUUAACACAUGCAAGUCGAACGGAAAGGCCCUGCUUUUGUUGGGUGCUCGAGUGGCGAACGGGUGAGUAACACGUGAGUAACCUGCCCUUGACUUUGGGAUAACUCCAGGAAACUGGGGCGAAUACCGGAUAUGAGCUCCUGCUGCAUGGGGUGGGUUGGAGAGUUUCGGCGGUUGGGGAUAGACUCGCGGGUUAUCAGCUUGUUGGUGGGGUAGUGGCUUACCAAGGGUUUGACGGGUAGCCGGCCUGAGAGGGUUACCGGCCACAUUGGGACUGAGAUACGGACCAGACUCCUACGGGCGGCAGCAGUGGGGAAUAUUGCACAAUGGGCGGAAGCCUGAUGCAGCAACGCCGCGUGCGGGAUGAUGGCCUUCGGGUUGUAAACCGCUUUCGCAUGUGAUGAAGCGUGAGUGACGGUAAUGGGUAAAGAAGCACCGGCUAACUACGUG
rnacentral:rRNA from 1 species